UCAACAUUUUAUAGGGUCGGAUAUGUGAGUGCUGACUGUGUUUUCAAUUUUGCCCCUUAAGUAACAUUAUAACGUUGUUGGUAAUGUAAACUGCUUUGUUACGUUCAUUCCGCACAUUUCAUUGUUUUUGUCAUUGUUUGGGCUGAGUCAUCUUUCUACUCCCUUUGUGUCCCCUUCUAUUGGUCAGACAUAAUCAAGUAUAAGCUAUCAAAUCUUUUGGCUUGAGAACCACUGCUUUGGGAGCGACUGUGGUACUACAGUUUCUGGGGAUUUAGUUGAGAUUCACAGGAUACUGCCUGCCAUUGUUAUCUUUAUUAACAACAUUGGUUCUUCAAAAAUAACCUUGUGUUGGCAUUUUGCUUUUUGGUUUUUAUGGUAAUUUGCAAUUGAAUACCUUAUUAAGAGUUUUCACAGACUUCCAACAGACCAAGGCAGUCCUGCAAAGUCAAGUGUUACAUUCAUUGGUUGUAAUGGGGGAAAUAGUGGAAGAAUGAUGUUCUUUCAGUCAGAUGCAUUGUGUGGGAGUGCUGAAUAAGAAUCAAGUGAAAUAGAGCAAGCUUUCAAAUUGAUUGAUUAGCAUUCAGAUAAACUGAAAAAAUAGGUUUUUAAUGUGCAGCUGUGUUAGAUACCGACUACUCGGUUGGUGCAGACAUCUCAAUAAUAUAAUUGUAAUAACUACCGUAAGUGCCUGAGUUUUCUGUUCUGAAGGCCUUGCUUGUUUUUUCUAAGGGAGAGGGUAAAAGGGGAACAACACAAAACCUUACCAUUUCAGUUAUCUUAAUCACUUGCUAUUAAGGUAGAUUUUAUAUGAUGAUAUGUUCUAGACCAGGGUAAAAGGGGAGCAACACAAAACCUUACCAUUUCAGUUAUCUUAAUCACUUGCUAUUAAGGUAGAUUUUAUAUGAUGAUAUGUUCUAGACCAGGGUAAAAGGGGAGCAACACAAAACCUUACCAUUUCAGUUAUCUUAAUCACUUGCUAUUAAGGUAGAUUUUAUAUGAUGAUAUGUUCUAGACCAGGGUAAAAGGGGAGCAACACAAAACCUUACCAUUUCAGUUAUCUUAAUCACUUGCUAUUAAGGUAGAUUUUAUAUGAUGAUAUGUUCUAGACCAGGGUAAAAGGGGAGCAACACAAAACCUUACCAUUUCAGUUAUCUUAAUCACUUGCUAUUAAGGUAGAUUUUAUAUGAUGAUAUGUUCUAGACCAGGGUAAAAGGGGAGCAACACAAAACCUUACCAUUUCAGUUAUCUUAAUCACUUGCUAUUAAGGUAGAUUUUAUAUGAUGAUAUGUUCUAGACCAGGGUAAAAGGGGAGCAACACAAAACCUUACCAUUUC